rnacentral:misc_RNA from 1 species
GAUGAAGAACGCAGUGAAAUGCGAUAAGUAAUGUGAAUUGCAGAAUUCAGUGAAUCAUCGAAUCUUUGAACGCACAUUGCGCCCGCCAGCAUUCUGGCGGGCAUGCCUGUUCGAGCGUCAUUUCAACCCUCGACAUCCCCUUGGGGAAGUCGGCGUUGGGGACCGGCAGCACACCGCCGGCCCCGAAAUUGAGUGGCGGCCCGUCCGCGGCGACCUCUGCGUAGUAAUCCAACCUCGCACCGGAACCCCGACGUGGCCACGCCGUAAAACACCCACCUUUCUGAACGUUGACCUCGGAUCAGGUAGGAAUACCCGCUGAACUUAAGCAUAUCAAUAACGGAGGA